rnacentral:lncRNA from 1 species
GUAAAAUCUUCAACUUGUCAGCAGAUCAAGCUGUCCCUAAAUGAGCAGGACAGCUCCCCACGCCCCCAAGAGGUGCACAGGUGGCUGUUACAGGGACACUUUUCAUAGGCUUUACCAGAGAUUAUAACUUUAUAGAUUGGCAUUAAGCCUGUAAAGCAAUGAUGAUUCCCAAAAGUUGGAAGAGAAGAAUGGGGAGGUACAUUGAAUAAGCCUGGAUUUUUGCCACUUUGAAUUAAGCCUUCUUAAAUUCAGAGCCCAGAAGCUCCCUUGUCAUUUUGAGAUUCAUAUCAGUGGAGAUGAUGCUGACUGUAGCAUAACAGAAACAAAGAAAGCCACAGGCUGCUAGAGAUGACUCCUGCCAAGGUGGCAGCAGUAGGAGCCUAUAACCAACAGAUGAGAGGUGUAAAGCUCAUACAUGCUGCCCUCAUGGCCAUCUGGAUCUUGCCAGCAGAAGGCCCACUCUGCAGUUAAAGAAGUUGGAAAAUAGUGAAAGCACCCAAUUCAGACCAUAACAACUGAAUCCAAACCUUGGUUCUGCAGAAUCCUGAAAAGUAAGUCUUAGCAUUUGCUCUAAUAACAUCCAUUGUCCUGGAUGCACAGAUGAAAUAGCAUAUGUAGAAGAACUUUAUGAUCUAUAAAGCAUUAAAGAUAAACUCAAGGUCUUGUUCCCUAAGGGGCUGUUUUUGAACCUAUGCUAUUAAUAAAGGGGGCAAUAUUGUGCA